UCCGUUGAUGGAAAUCAUACAUUUGUCAUACAAGAUAUUUCUCGUUUACUUUGUACUAUGUUGCUUUGCUGCAUAUGCAUAUACAGAGUAGUAAUAUUUUUCAGUCCAUGUUGAGGCCAUCUUCUGCCUGACCAAUAUAUCAUAUCACGGACCUGUCAGUCAGCUACUGGUACAGUGAGGCAGGCAUAACAGGAGUUCUGGGCCGUGUACAUCUGCGGCGGAGGAUACAUUUGUAUUUGCGCGGGAUCCAUCGACGGCAUGGGAUAACGCCGUACGUUAGGAGUGGUUACGUGAUUCUGGGUCUCCCGAAGAGAAUCACCGGAAUUCGACGGCCUGAGUCUAGGCGGUGGCGGGGGUUGUUUCGACUGGGUCGCCGGAAUCAGAGUCGACGACGGAGCGUUGUCGACGGAAUUAUGGCGAGAGAAGGUCGACGUGCUCGUGAUGGGCAAAGGAACUGGUCGCGACGACGGUAGCAAUGGCGGUUGACUAGGAAGACUUCUGCUCGCGCCGAGCGCUGCGUUCGAGCCGGAGAUACUCGUUUGACUGUUGUUGGAGCCGCUCGACGACGUCGUGAGGGUGCUCGAACUGGACUGGGUCACUUGCGAGGACGAAGUACGCGGAUUCGCGUUAUUCCUGCCACGACCCAUCGGCGAAUUGCUGCGACUAGGAGAUCGUGACUGGGACGGCGAAGACUGGCGGCUGACUAAAGGAGAAUGUGGAUAAGCCAGCACGUCGCCGGUAUGAUACAUCAGCUGGUUUCCCAUCAUAACCUGACCCGUCCACGCUGGCGGCAUAUGGUUCAUGGAUGGGAAACCAAGGUGAACGUAUUGAGUUGUACCGCCGGAUCCCAUAGGCAUUUGCUCCGGGCCAGGCAGGCAUAAUCCUGGUGGAGGUAUCGUGAGGCCGGGUGGCAUUCCGGUUACCAUGGCAUUUCUCAUUGCGAUUUCUCCUGUAAACAUCAAGUAAUAAUAAGAUAAUGAAGCAAUCUUGGAUUUAAAAAAAACGAGCAUAGAUUUAUGAAACAAUUUAUCUCAUUGCACUUCACAGUUUUUCUCUUUGCAUAGAUAAAGAAUUUUAUAAUACAAAAAAGUUUAUCUUAGAAAUAUUCUUGUCUAAGAAAUCUUAUCUAAUUGUAAGAAAUAAUAUUAAGAAU